rnacentral:rRNA from 1 species
ACGGAAGGCAGCAGUGGGGAAUAUUGCACAAUGGGGGAAACCCUGAUGCAGCGACGCCGCGUGAGUGAAGAAGUAUUUCGGUAUGUAAAGCUCUAUCAGCAAGGAAGAAAAUGACGGUACUUGACUAAGAAGCCCCGGCUAACUACGUGCCAGCAGCCGCGGUAAUACGUAGGGGGCAAGCGUUAUCCGGAUUUACUGGGUGUAAAGGGAGCGUAGACGGUAAUGCAAGUCAGAAGUGAAAGCCCAAGGCUCAACCAUGGGACUGCUUUUGAAACUGUAAUACUAGAGCGCAGGAGAGGUAAGUGGAAUUCCUAGUGUAGCGGUGAAAUGCGUAGAUAUUAGGAGGAACACCAGUGGCGAAGGCGGCUUACUGGACUGUAACUGACGUUGAGGCUCGAAAGCGUGGGGAGCAAACAGGAUUAGAUACCCUGGUA